UACGUAGGCAGCAAGCGUUGUUCGGAAUUACUGGGCGUAAAGAGUGUGUAGGCGGUGCUCUAAGUCUAUCGUGAAAUCUCCCGGCUCAACUGGGAGGGUGCGGCGGAAACUGGAGUGCUUGAGUAUGGGAGAGGAAAGCGGAAUUCCUGGUGUAGCGGUGAAAUGCGUAGAUAUCAGGAGGAACACCUGCGGUGUAGACAGCUUUCUGGACCAUCACUGACGCUGAGACACGAAAGCGUGGGUAGCAAACAGG
rnacentral:rRNA from 1 species